rnacentral:lncRNA from 1 species
AUGCCUGCGGCUGUUGCUGCAGCUGUAUGGCUUGCACCGCUUCAGUGAGGCCUCUGACCUGCUGAACUAGUAGGUCGAAUUGCUCUGCGCCAACCACCGUUGCCAGAGGAGGAGGAAAAGCUUGAAAAAUUAGAGGUGAGGCCGGAGCCUGAGAUCUGGCCAUGGGGGCCGUGGUUCACUGAGUGGAUGCCCUACGGGGAGGCAUCGGGCGAAGAUCUAAUGGAGAA